GUAAGUUUCGUUUUGUUUUACAAAGUUUUGAAAAUGAGAGUUGAGUGGAGACGCAGUUUAUUAAGAUAACAAGGAAAACACCAAAACGAAACGAUAACUUUUUACGUAAACGUGGCUGCACGAAAAAUAGCACAAAAAUAAAAUCACAAAAAUGUGGUCAUCGUGUGAAACUAGGAAUCUUUUGUCAUGGCUGUGGCUCCAUGCUCUCCACUCUAUUUUAUUAAGCAGAUUUUAGGCCUGAGCCAGUCGUCACAACAACAAGAUGCCAGUUAUGCUUGUGCUGCUGUUACCCUGUCAUCAGCAACAAUCUCAUCAUCAUCUCUUGGAUAAACAGCAGCCCAGUUGAUUGGAGAAAUUUCCCUUCUUUAAAUAUCCUCUGUCCUUGUGUACACCCAUGUGUGUGUGGGUGUAUUCACGAGGACCCCCUUUUUCCCUAUCCUGCCUGGUGUGUUCAACUCUUCAGGGAAUGGAUAGAUGCCUGGCUGUAUUUCCCAGGCUUAAAGGUAGGAAAAAUCUAUCUCAACCUUCCUUUUUGACUAGUUGGGGGGGGGCGUUGAUUAUGAAUCGUUCAUAGCAUGGAGUACGAUUAUUCCUGAAAUAUGCGUUUUGACUUUUUUCUCUUUGCUGUUUUUGUUGACUCAGUAAGGGAUCAGGCUCGGUUUUGUACCUUACAACUUUGUCUGUGGGUAAACGAUCAAGUUUGAAAUUUUUUUAACUUUUUACACUUGAAGUAAGAACUGGAAAAUUGUAUGGCCAAGAGGUACCUGCCACCACACCGGCACCUCCUCGUCUAUGGCUGCGUCAAAACAAACAAUUAUCGUGAAUCGUGAACUCAUUGAUUUUUAGACUCGACCCCGCCCCCUUCCCCUUCGUUUCUCCAACGAAUAUAGGCUUUUAAUCUUCAUUAUCUGGCACCCAUAAAUAGGUUGACGUCGUACGUCAACACAAGAAAAUUCAAACUCAACGUCCUGUGCUCGAUACUCGACUUUGUUUUGCGUGGUGAUAGGAUAGGAGCGAUGGCGAACCCCGAAUAUAAUAUUUUGAAUGACAACGAUGGGCUUGGUCACUGUUUAUUUGUUUGUGCCUAAAUUAUCGCGAAAACCACAUUUUUCCCCCAUUGAGAAAACACGGCGACGCCUUCACGCUCAUUCAAACGGCCCAUUUAACAUCCACAUCCGUCCGUUUCCCCCCUCACACUUAGUCGUAUUUUAUCCAAACAUCAUUAAGUUGACUGGGAGCCUUUUCUGUCGUGUUUGGGUCAAUAAUCAUCAGCGGUCAGGAGUCUGGAGCAACAUUAUACAGACAGCCUUGCGAUGACCGUUGGUGUUUUUGAAGAUUAUUCGAUGGCCAGUUGGCGUUCGUUUAAGCAUCCAGCUAAAAGUUCCCCCCAACAUAAUAACGCCAAACGUUCUAUUAUUCGUCCGCGUUUUGAUUAUUCCGGUUCUCUGAUUUAUGUAUUUACACAGGGAUGAUGUCCAUACACAGGAAAGAUAUUGUCCAGUGUUUGGGCCGGGCAUCGACGAUGUUGAUCCACCUGGUCCACUUCUCAUGGUCCACAUAUAUUUAUAGUUCUCCGGAUCAGAGAGUGUGUGCAGCACAAACUUGUUUCCUCUCGGAAAAAAAUAAUGUCUUUCAAACUCUUUUGACACUCGACGCCUCCUACUCCUUUUUCUAUAUAGCUCCGGGGCUCCUGCUGAGCUGUCCCACCCUGCCCCGCGGAUAGUGUGUAUACUAUGCCCGGCCGUUUUGCUAUGCUCGCUCUUGAUCCUCCCAACAGAUUUUUUUUUAAUUUUAUUUUAACGCGUCGGCGGCGACAAGCAGUCUGCCGAGACGCGUUGGAAAAGUAAAAGAACCAUGUUCUUUUGGGGUUUGUUUUUUUCUUAUUCUCCCUCCUCUGCUUUUAACUUCCCCCAUUCAUCCGGAUAGAGAUGACCAGCUCCGCCUUCUUCAGUUUUCUCUCAGAAAAGAAACAAGUUGAUGGAGAGGACAUAGUCUUGUUAUAAGUGUAAUAGCAACUUCUCCGCCCUCUUUCUUUUUUGUUUUAAUGUUCCAGUUUUGCGCCUGUAGGUUUUCUUUUGGGGAUCCCAUUUACUUUUGCUCCAGUUGGAAAGAUCACGUUUUUUGUUUUAUGGAAGAGCCCAAACCAGCCUUUCACCUAUGCAUAUAGAGCGCAGUUGGUACUACACUGGUCCUACGCAUACAUAUACAUAGAUGACUUCCAUAUGUUGGUGUUGGUGGCUAAUUAGGUUUCCGGUGCUCGCCCUUUACGCUACUACAAGCAACAGCCUUCUCCUUAUUCCAUCUGAGGAGGAGUUUUGGGUUGUUCCACACUCUUUCUUACAAAAAUGUACUCUACAUACGCACGCAGCAGAGAGUUCUGUGAGUGACUUAUUCGCUUUUCCGUUCCGCUCGAGCUGCGUCAGAUAUACACUUUUCUCGGUACACACACACACACACAUGCAUGAGACGCGCUCUGCCGCCUCUACGCCGACAUUUCAAUUAACUUUGGAUACAACGAACCCUGUAGUCUCUUCCUUUUCUCGAUUUCAUAUUUUGAAUCCGUAUUCCGUAUGUUGAAAAGACCGCCUCUUGUUUCACUUAGACUUUUGUUUCAAGAGAAGGAAAAAGGGCGCGAAAUUUGAAAUGGGGAGUCGUAAAUCUCUAGUCAGCCCGUUACACAAAAAAACCAAAGGUCGACAAGGUGGACGCGUCCACUCUUGUCAAGUUAUUGUACAACAGGACAGUUGCGAAGAUGGCACAACAACAAGGAGAGGAAAAAAGUGAACUCUGUAUAUUGAUCCGGGUCUCAAUAUACGGUUUAUUACGAAAGGCAAGACAACGAUUAACUUUAUACGUAACUACCAUACAUGACCGUACAAGUUAGACAGACAUCUUCAGCAUCUCUAGUAAGCAGGUUUUUUAUUUGUUUUAUUGUUCUCCGAAAGAUCGACACUUCAAUUUAUUUUUUCAUUUUUCCCCUCGUGAUGGUGAAAAACUUCUCUAUCGCCCCUCUCUCUCUCUCCCUCCUCCCUCCCACCAACUGGAAGAUUUGACAUGUUCAAUUGUUCUCGUCACAGUUAUUGGAGUUUGGUUCCAAGCUUUUCAGCGCAUUAUAUAAAUACCCUCGUCGAUAUUUAUGAAUUCAGCGCCCUCUUCUUUUUCUCCUGUGCCACCCCUUUCUCUUUCUCUAUGGCAUACAAAAACCCUAGACUCUAUUCACUCAUCUAUUUAUAGUGUACAGUUCAUAUCAAGAGCGACUAUAUACUACUCCAGUGUUUGAUUGCUCCGAGACUGGCUGUCUGCCUGCCUGCUGGUGUGUGUGUAGUAUAGGACAACGUCAUCAAACUCUGAAUCAUCAGUUUCUUAUAUUCUCAUAUCGUCGAGCUUUUUUUUUCUUUUUAUUAUUAUUGCCGAGCCAGGCGCAUAAUAAAAGCGGUUGACAGAGUUCCUUCUUGUUUGUCUGAACCGUCUACACACCGUUGGUUUGUCAUGUAUAAAGUGGGAAAUCACUUUUCAGCACAAUUUGAUUUUUACGUUCGCUCUUCUUCUUCUUUUUUUUUUGUUCAAAUAAAUAUCACUUUCUAU